rnacentral:lncRNA from 1 species
AUCUCAUAAACUAUGGCCAUGUAUGCACCAUGAUUAUGCUUAUAUUUUAAUCAUGCAUGCAAGUUAGUAUAACGAAAUACUAUCUAGCCAAGAGGCACUAUAAUGGGCUCAAAGAUGCUACUGAUCGAAUGCAACUGAGCUGGCCUUGCUAGUAGCCGAGAAUAACUUCGCUGGCCUUGCUAGUGGCCGAGAAUGACUAGCUGGCCCCGCCAGUGGCCGAAUGGACUUCGCAGUAGCAUCCGAGAGAAUGGACCACGGCAUGCCGGGGGCACGGUUUCAUGUGCAUGUUUUAUGAAAAUUCUGUUUGACUGAAAAUAUUGCUUUGUUUUCGAAGCAUACAUAUUUUGCCAUGAUAAAUUGUGAGAUAAUACGCAUGUCAGCUUCUCAAACCCUGCAUAAACAUGGUUACCAUUAUGUUCGAUCCGGUAAGAUUAUGUAUGAUUACUUACUGAGCCGUGUAGCUCAUAUCUGUUCAUUUACUUUUUCUUUCAGAUCCUUACCACUGAUAGCUGCCAGAGACACGUUAAUUUGGUAUCAGGGCUUCUUUCUUUUGGGGUAAAGCAAGUAUACUUUUGUAUACAUAAACUACAUAGAAGCUCUGUAUUUGGGUACUGACCAGCAUGUUGUACUAAGAAUGCUUUCAUAAGAAAAGAUUCGGUUGGUUUGACUACCCUGUUACCCAGGUAUGAGGCUGCGUGCUAUUGUGGGCGGUAGUCGGCAAU